rnacentral:rRNA from 1 species
UACGUAGGCAGCAAGCGUUGUUCGGAGUUACUGGGCGUAAAGGGUGCGUAGGCGGUUUGGUAAGUCUGAUGUGAAAUCUAAUGGGCUCAACUCAUAGUCUGCAUCGGAAACUGCCGGGCUUGAGUGUGGGAGAGGUGAGUGGAAUUCCGGUGAUAGCGGUGAAAUGCGUAGAUAUCGGGAGGAACACCUGUGGCGAAAGCGGCUCACUGG